UCUUAAUCUUACUGAAUAUCUAAAAUGAUGGACCAAAUGAUUUUCCUUGGGAAUGACUGAAAUUUAUCUCUCCUUAAUUACUUGGGUUAUGAUACAAGCUAUUAUAAGUUCUUAUAAUUCAUAGGUAGAUCGCCAGGCCAUGUAAUCUCUAAACUGAACCCACUUUCUUGAUGUCAGUGCUAUGUUUCCUUGCUUUCUUUUUAUAAUGUUUAAUAUAUCCAUUAUGUGUGUGUGUGUUAUUUCAGAGUUAUAAAUAAAUUUUUCCAUGAUUAAAAAUUAAAGUUGUUUAUUUUUUUUAUCUUCUUGUUUGGUUAUUAAAUACAGAUACUAUGUUGCUUUUGGUAUAAAUAUGUUUGGAGUUGAGCAUGUUUUGAGCUUCAGCAAAAAAUGCAUUAAACUAAAGGUUCUUGUCCACGUAUCAAUAGCUUAUGUAUGUGGCGAGAGAGGUUGACUCAUAGUAGAAGAUCCAUAUCAUUUAAGCGUGUCACUAAAUGUAGUGCCUGGAUUAGACAUUGAUAUGGAAAAGAAAGUGGCAGAGGAGAUACUUAAUCAACAUCGAGAGGAGGAAGCCACAAAACAUGAUAUUACAGUGGCCAUGAAGGACAAAUAAUCUUAAGUCUAAGAAUAACCAUAGUGAAUGGGUUACGACAGCCAAACCUCAAUUAGGUCUUGGAAUUUUAGAAAGUGUAGCUGCAGCACUAAAGAAAACAGGGGAGAACAUUGAUAUCUGUCAUUCUAUAAAAGGGGAAUAGCGAGAUGCUCUUACUGCUCUUCUUGGGAUUCCAAACUGGCUUGGAGAAGAGUUCGUUGGGUCUACAAAAUACAACCUGUUCACAUUACCCGAUGCUUAUAUGGCAUCUCAGUAUAGAAAUAGAUGGAAUGAUGACCGUUCAGUUGCUAUUGAAGUAUCUGGUUAGCAAACUCAGAUUGGAGAGGGAGUCAGGGGUACCUUCAAUCAUCUUUUUAGCUUUUUAAGACAUUGCAACCAUGUCAGAUCCCCGUCAACCAGAAUCCUCAUCAAAUACGAAGUAUAAGCAAUACAUAGCACGCUGUGGUCAAAUCAAGGUAACCAAAAGAGAAAACUGUGAAAAUGAAUAUGGACCACUCAUGAGACGUAGCACUAAGCAGCCAAUAGAAAUCUUCCAAGGAAUAUCCCAAACUGUGAGAAUAUCCCACUGGCGUUCCUUCCUAUGUGCCACUGUAUGCAAGGUACAUCAAAAUAUCCCUUCUAUAUAACUCACACAUUCUCACAAAACCUCAAGGCCCAUUAACCUUUCAAGUUUCUAUAUAAACCAGACUAGUUUUGCUUCAACCAUCAUUUGAAACAAAACAAUAAGCUCAAAAAAACAAGAGAAAGCUUCUUACUUUAGUGCUAAGAAAAAUGUCUACAAUGGUAGGGUUAUGGAUAGGGGAGAUGGCAAAGCUCACAGAGAAAGUCAUGACCCACAAGAGCACCUUUUCCAAAGGCAAAAAGGGAUCAGAAGACAAACAAGCAGAGAAAAAGGAAGCUCAAAAAGACAUUGCAACCAUGUCAGAGUCAGAGGCAACAGUGUGUUUGCUUAUGGAUAGAUUUGUGCCUUGUUGAUAUGCUUAUUAGGUUGCAAAAAGUGGUCUCUUUUCAAAGUUUGGGAUUAGCAUAUAGCGUUAGAUUUAUGAACUUCUUUAAGAUGUAUGUCAAGUGAUUUCAUUCUAGAGUGCAAGGCAUCUUCUUUUCUAAGGGAGAGGCUUUUUUUUAGCUCCCUUAUUCUGAAGGACUAGUAAAAUUAUAAUAAAAAUCUUGUAAGUUUGAAGUUAUGUUAUAUAACUUUUUAUUUGUAUUUCUAUAAAAUU